rnacentral:sRNA from 1 species
AAGGAAGAAGAGGAAGAAGGGAGGAGGAAGGGGUAAGGGGAGGUUGGGGAAGAGGAGGACUAUGACUGCUACAGUGAAGACAACAAAAAAGAGGGCAAGAGAGAGAAGACCAAGAGAGUGAUCAAGUCAACUAUGCUAACAUACUUCGAAAUUCUACAAAUGAGCAAUCUCAUGAAAAUGGACAAUUACCCUACUUGAAUCUGGAUCUGACAAAAAUCUAGAAUGGGCUCUGGAUUUGAAUAACAUAAUGAAUAAUUCUUCCAAAUCCAUACAGUAGAGCAUGUGCACCCCAACAUCACUUGAGAGCACACGCAGUGAAAGGUUUCCCACUUCUCAUCACUGCUCUCCCAAAUCUACCGCGAUGACAGAUCUUUCUCUUAAGAACUCAAGUUUAAAAACCAAAAAAAAUAAAUAAAUAAAUAAAUAAAUAAAAGUAUACCAGAGUCGAUAAAAAUCAAAUCCACGCGGGUAAAAAUUACCUUGAAAUUGCAGAUUUGCUCAUAGAGAAAUCGAGGAAUCUGACAUGACCAGCGAAACCAAAGCCAUCAAUAACACCCAUGCAUUAGAAAGGAAACUGUCUUAGCAUUCAGUAUAAACCUCUGAUGCUUUAUCUUAUUGCUGUAAUAAAACGAAUUCUUUUCAUUUAAAACUAAUUUUAUUUAAAAGAAAAGGUGCUCUGUUUAAAGAAUAAAUCCUAAAAUUUUAACCAGCAACAUAGGCACUGGUAAAACACAGAACGCACUCCCGGGGAAGCCUCAGAAAGCAGGUUAGUAACCAAUUCUGGGCUCUCUAACCAAAACAGGGAAAUGGAAGGUGGAAGAGGAGCAGUGACUGCACAGGAGAAAGGCACCCCCAUCAGCACCACUUUCCUGCCAGACAGAAACCCAGAAAGAUCAAUAUUAAAGGAAUCAACUGUGCGCCGUCAAUAUGUACAAUCAAUGACUAGUUAGAGCAUGAAAAAUUAAAGAGCUCUCCGUUUCUCCAUAGUUAGAUAAAUAAAUUAUGGAGGAUUUCAUAGGCUACAAUAAAGAAAAACAAAGUAUAAAAUGCUCAAAAUUCCCCGUAAUUAUGGAUACAAGGGCUCUGUAAAAGCAAAGCACCAAAAGACUUCAACAACCAAAGGGCUGAAGAAAUAAACAGGCUUAACACCUAGGAGACUGAAUUUUGUACAAGCAUUGUUCUCAAACAGGCUUUAUUAGACUGACCGUUUAAGAGGAUGGCACUUCAAAUGGAAAAUACACAAGUAAUUGACACUGUGCUAAAUACGCCACACCCAGCAUAUCAUCCAGUCACAGGAACAGAUGAAGUAGCCAGGGCCCACUGAGAUGAAAUUUGUUAAUGAAGCGAAGAAUGCUGAAAGAAAAGAACUUUUGACACAGAAGAAGUAAAAACACUAUCAGAAAUUAACAUAUAUAGUAGCCAUGAAUCAAAAUUAUAUGAUACACUGAACGGAAAGAAAGUAGGUUAAUGCAUUAGACUAAUUAACAUGGAAAGAGAAAUAUAUUCAUUUUGACGUUAACCCUUUUAAAAUGUGCUCAGAAUACUAGCUAAUGUCAAACUCACGUGGUAAGAACUGAAUAACUGGUUGACAAACAGCUAGCAUGAUUAACCACUCUUUAAGAGUUGAGUAAUCAAAGUAGGGCUUAAUUCAAAUUAGGCCUGUAACAACUGCACAGCUGUUUUGGGGGGGAAAAAAAAGUAAAAUCAAUUUUGGUCGGCCUUGUAUUUCAGUGGGGUAACUGAGAAAGGAGCUAUGAAGGAAAAUAUCAACGAAAGCCUCCCUCAAAACCAACUGAAAAGCUGGUGAUAGGAACAUCCAACUCAGAAAUGCCAUCCCCAGUGACUUCAAAAGUAGCAGGCCAAACCAAGCUCUCAACAGUAAAAGGAAACAUGGGGGAAGGGUAUUAGACCUCAGAAGCUGGAGUCAGCCUCACAACCAAUCAGAGAGGACCACAUUAAACUUCUCAGCAAAAUGAUUGACAAAAAUAUCUUUUAAAUCAUUCAGGACCUUUGCCCCAGUCACAUUUCUUGUGUAAAAAUUCAUCACCGACUUCGAGGUUGCAUAAUGGAAACAUAUUCAAACCAUGAAGUUUAUAAAGCUUUGUGGUAACAUUUCUAUCAGCCAAGUGGACCACUGGGAUGCUUUUCUGCUUGUCACUCCUGUUGCUGCUGCUGUUGUUGUUGUUGUUGCUGUUGUUGUUUCUCCCCCCACCCCUGCUGGGAAUUGAACUGCAAGCCUUGCACAUGCUAUGUCAGUCCCCAUGAUGCUUUUCAGCCUGAGCUUUUUGCAAAUGCAAAUCAGUUCUCAACCAACUGAUUGACACGAAUAAUAAGAAAAAUAGGGGCUUGGAGCAAUGUACAUCUGUUUCUGAAGUUUGGAUGCCAUAGGAAGACAUUAAUUCCCUCUUACAUCUUUCUUUAAAUGGUUCUAAUGGUUCUAUUUAAUAAGAGUUACUUGAGAGUGUCUUCUAUGAUAUACGGUUUUGAGGAGAGAAGACAAAUUUUUGUUUUUAUUUUAUUUUUGAGAUUCUAAUAUAAUUACACUAUUUCUCACCUUCCUUUCCUCCCUCGAAACCCUCCCAUAUACACAGCAGCCCUGUUCUUCAAAUUCAUGACCUCUUUUAUACUAAUUGUUAUUGCAUGACUAUAUCUAUAAUGUAUACGUAUAUAUGCUCCUAAGUAUAACCAGAUCAGUCUGUAUAAUGUUACUUGUAUGUAUGUAUGUUUCCAGAGCAACCAUUUGGUUCAGGUCAUUCUGGUGAGACUUUAUGUGGCACAUGUCUUUACCUGGUGGGUGCAGCUUCUGUUGAUACUGGGAGACACAAUCUCACAGAAAACUCCCUGAGUCUCUGGCUCUUAAGAUUUCCUGCCCCUCUUACACAGUGUUCUCUAAGUCCUAGGUGCCAAAGUGUUUUGUACAUGUAGCCAUUGGGACUAGGCCCGCAGCCCUGCAUUUUGAUUGGCUGUGGUUUUUCUGUAGUGGUCUCCCUGUGUUGCAAAGAGGAGAUCCCUUGACGAGGAGUGAUGGCUACGCGUAUCUGUGGGUACAAGGACAAAUGUUAGCAUAGGGUCAUUCUCGUUUAGUAAACCAGUGGCAGCAGAUCCCCCCGCCCCGUAACCAUGACGACACUACCACUGAGUACUUCGCUGGGUUCCCAAUACCAGGUUUCAUAUCCCUCUUGCUAAGCUCGCCUUAAGUCCAGUUAGAGAACUGUUGGUUACCUCCAAGGUGUGCACGCCACUACUGCAACAUUAGGGAUAGCAUGCCACCCCAGUUGUUUGAUGAGGGUUGCCGGUGUCAUAGCUGACUGCAUCUAUGUUCUGAGAAAACUACAUGCCUGGCCGAAAUGCACUACACUCUUUUCUGUGCAAGAAUUUUGUGCGAUUGACUCUUCUUUCAAGGAAUUGUUCGGUCUCGCUCCUCGGUGUCACUUGGAAAGGAAAAUAACAGUCACGCUUACUUCCUGCCCCUCAGUUCCCAGAGUUUAUGUUAUGUUGUUGCUAGUGAUCUGUCUAUGGUUCUAGAACGAAUUAGGACUUUUUAAAAGCCUAAAAUAUUGUGCUGAUUUCCCAUUGUACAAACUCAAAGAAUUCCAUACUAUUUCGAUAUCCUUAUUGUUGGCGUUACCUUCUACUUAACUACACAACACCCACUUAAUCACACAUGGUAUGCCUAUUGAUUACAAAUACUUUCACCUUGCCUAGGUAAAAAUAAGCCAUUUAUGCCCCUGCAUCACUCUUUAGAAGAGUAGAUCUCAACCUUGGCUGCACACUGAAUUCACCUGGGAAACCUAAAGAUACCUUCCCAACCUGAGACUAAUUUAAUUAGUCUGAAGUAUCACCUGAAUAAUAGGAUUUAAAAAAAAAGCUCUCUGGGUGAUUAUAAUAAGCAGCCAAAGAUGAGAAUUACAGAUUUUCCUUGAGGAGAAAAUAUAUAAAUCUUUAAGUAACCAAAAUAUAGUGGCUAUAAGAAAAAAUAAUGAUUUUGAACAACUCUUCCAUUUGAUAUGAGUCUUUCUUCUGAACAAUAUUUCACCUGUGCUAUCAAUGUGCCUACAAUUCGCAAUCAUGAAGUCUUUCACUUAUGAUUACAUAUCAUGAGAGUACAUGCCUUCAUAUUGUCCAGUUGGGGAAAAAGUCUCAAUUAAGUUGAAAUUUAUAUAAAAGAUGUACAAGAACUCUAGCGGUUUGCCCCAAAGUGUGAUUAUUUUUUUUCCUUUCAAAACUUCCAUAUUUCACAACUUGGGAGUCAUCUUCCUCAACUUUUAAAUUUCAUUUUUACUUAUUUGUUUAUGUGGGAGGGAGAUAUACAUAAGCGUGUGCGCACACAUGCCAGGGUGUAUGGGUAGAGAUCCAAAGACAGUGGCAAGAGUUCCCUCUCUCCUUCCCCCAGGCGGGUCCCAGGAAUUGAACUUGGGUUGUCAGGCUUAAUGAGAGGUGACUUUGCCUACUGAGCUACCCAAAGGUUCCAGCCUUUGGGAAGACUUCAAUGACCGUAUAGCUUUUCUUUGUUUGUUUUUCGAGAGUACAAAUAAAUGGAGCUCUCAAAACAAAAUGGACAAAAAGGAAGAACAAGAAACAGAAGAGGUAAGAUUCAGUCAGGAUACUUUAUUCCACUGCACAAGCAGUCUCAUAUCAAAAGUUAUGAUUUCCCCUUUGAAAGAAAGGAACUCCAAUAUUGCUUAACCCAUUUGAGUUCUCAUUAGCACAACUAAUUCCACCAAAUUACGUGUUGUUGCUGCUGCUGUUGCUGCUGCUGCUGCUGCUGCUGCUGCUGCUGCUGCUGCUGCUGCUGCUGCUGCGGCAGUGCCAGGGCACCCUGUGGAGGGGUGGAUGAAUCAUAUAAAGCAAUAAGCAUUUUUCCCUGAGAUACCAUGUUAAGUCCGGCCUGAGGUUCUUCUUUAAUAUGCGGUUUCCGACUGGAUUCCCCAGAGGACUAGGUGUUCCCUGUUACCGAACACAGCCAACACUGUGACCUACUCCUUUGGUAUUUGUCCCACACUGUACUGAAGCCCAGAAAACACAGAGGAUAAAUGAUGCUGAUGUGUGCUCUUUCAGAACAGCACCAGGUCUGCUGAAACUACAGGCAAAGGGGCAAAACAGAUUGUGGGGGGCUCACGGCUGCUUUCCGGUCCCUCCGGUUGGAUAAUGGCAUAGAAAAGGUUUCUUUGAAGUCAUUGCUUCUGUGUCAAGAGAGAGACUUCCAUUCUUCAGAAGGACCCUUACGGGUCUCAAAAUAUGUUUAAGGGUAAAUGUUCCACAGAAAACUGGAAGUUAGGUACUUUCCUGUUAUAUUCUCUUUCCUCCACUCUAGAGCUCACCAAUUCUUUGAGGCAUAAACGAAACCGGGGACUUGCACGUAUUUACUAGAUUGUAUAUACCACGCACUACCUAUGCUAAGUAAGUGUACGCUAUACUUAAACACAGCAUCCGGCCACAACUGUAAUUUAAGCCCCGAGAGGAAGGCAACACAUCACCCAGGCAAAAUGGUGCCAAACAAAAGAAAAAUGCCCUCUCAGGACUUGCAAACCUGUCAUUCAUCUCUAACAAGGCUGACUUUCCUGAGCCCGGGGGAUCAUAAAAGUCAUCAGACGAUUAAAAGUAAAUAAAUAAGACAGAAAAGUCAACUGUUUCCAAAAGGAGAUAAAAGUGACCUUUUUUUUUUUCAUAGGUUGAGUACGCCUAUCAAAGAGCCUGGAACUAAAAGUGCUUCAGAUUUGGGAUUUGGGAAAAUUUGCAUAUAUAUUACAUCGUAUCUCGGGGAUGGAACUGGAGCAUAAAUACAAAAUAUAUUCAUGUUUUCUGCUCACCUUCUACACAUAGCCCAAGAGUAAUUGCUGUUACAUAGUUACAAACUAUGACCUUUCAAAUAACACUGGAUAUGAAAGGAUCCACUUGUAGACAUUUUAAAAGUUUUAAGAUUUUUUUUUUUUUUAGGCUCCUGGAUGAUCAGACCAGAAAUGUCUUCCUCAAAGUAUGAAAUUCAAAUCCAAGAAAGGCAAAUGUCUACUGUGUGUUACCUCAUCCAACACUGUAUUCCCACAACACAGUCUUGCAAAUCGGUUUUACCUAAGAAAUUUCUGCAGCUUCAAAGCAUUAUCUGUAUACAUUUCUCAAACAUAGAAUACCAAGGAUCAUGCAAAACAAUGGGAAAUGAUUGUAUGAAGAGGUUUAUGUCAUAAAGUGCUCUGUGUACCAGCUUAGUGGCAACGCAAAUAAAGAAGUAUGAGUACGGACACGUGACUCUUGCAGAAAGUCAUUAGGUAAACAUCCAUCCUAUAUUCCAUUUGCUUUUAUGUGUAGUUUGAACAAGAGCGGGACUUUUUCUCAACAUGUCACAGUCAAUAAUAUCGACCAAAAUAACAGAAACAUGAGGAAGUACAAACCUCCGGGUCCAGUUUAAUCCAGAACGUCUUAGAAUUGUGAUCAUUGUAAAUAGUUAUGAAUAUAACCUUAGAAUUGUAUCUAUGAGUAGACCUCUGCUCUAGGUUGAACAAGGUGUUUGUCACAGUGUCCCCAACCACGAAGGGCCUCCUUUGUUACUUUUCCCUCUAGGUUCUCGAUGUCUUCUAAAAGGCUGAAGAGCAACAUAUAUAAUUUGCUUCGUUUUUUAAAAUGCGUUUUUCUAGCUAUCACACUGAUCCCUCCUCCAGCUGUCUAGAACUACCCGAGCGUUGUGAUCAUUGUUAGCUCUAUGUUGGUGUAAAUAUGAUGUAAAUAGGAAGCAAUGAGCACGGUGAGGUACCAAGCAGUGCUUUCUGCUGAAGCCAUUUUGUGAUAUCUCUUACUGUGCGCAUGCGUCACGCUUGCAACCCUUCCUACGUCCGGUAAGGCGGCGCGACCACCUGCUACCCUGCUCUGCCACAAAAACCCACCCAGGAUGUUCAAUAAAUGUAUCAAUAGUCCCUGCAGGUCUCACAUGCAUCAACUGCCCUCCCUCUGGGUUGAAGUGUGCUAGUCAAAAACCACAGGCCACUCUUGCCACAUGGAAAAAGGAAGAAAACAAAACAAAACAAAAAAGCUAAACAAACCCUCUCGGUUCAGCUCUGGUUCCUAAAAGCCAAACAGCCCAGCAGUGAAAGCCUUUGCCUACAAGCCUGACUUACGGCCUCCAGCUCAAGGUUCCUAUCUCUGUGGUUAAAUUUCUUCAGCUACAGGAUGAGGACCCUUUCAGACCUUAAUUUCUGGUCCUCGAAAUUCUAAAGUUGAGAGAGGUGAGGAAGCAGUUAUAAAUUGUUUUGCUGCCUGUCUUGACCUGUUGGGGCUACAGUAGAGCAAAAGGUAUAUAAUGGAUUAGUGAUUCUGCAAUUAUCAUGUUACUUCUUUUUAUAAAACCCAACUGUAUAAUUCAAGACUUAAAGUAAGUUUUGGCAUUAAUUGUUGGCUUGUGCAUCAAAUUCACCUGAACACAGUUAAAUUCCCUUUUAAUUUUUCCUAGGAGGAACUCUGACUGCCAAGAAUUGUUCCAGUUCCCUUCAGCAAGAAGCAUGUCUUAAGAGAGAAAAAAAAAAGUGGAGGGAUCUUCUGAGUAAGAUAAAUGCUUAGGCUGUUUGUUAUAGGG